AGAGAGACUAGGAGAUUUGGGGCUGCGGCCGUUUCCUCCGGAGCACCCACGGGACUGUGUGCUGGGGUCCCUCCACCGGCUGUGUCCUUUAUUCUUCUUUCUCACCCAACGAUUUACCUGAACGGUUAUAAAGUGCACGUUAUUUCCCUAAGCACUUUGAGUAUAUUGGCCCACUGCAUUCUGGACUUCAAAAUUUCUGAUGCGAAAUAUGCUGAUACUUUUGUUGAAGAAAUCUGGUCCUUCUUACUGAUGUGUUGCUCUUCUUCAUGGCUCGUGAAAACUAUUAGAGUCAUCCAAGGGUGGGAAGAGAGAUCAGCAACGUUAACUGGGUGUCAAGAAAACAUACCGAGAUUGAAGCCAUCCACUUCUGCAGGAACACCGAAAAGAAAGGUACAACGCUUGGGGAAAGACUGGAUUUCAUUAGGGACAGUGACAAUACCUGUUUGACAUAGAGGUUCCAGCGCUGGCCAGGGAACUCCCUGAGCACUAGUAAUGCCAGUGUCAGUUGUAGAAUUCUUUUAAAAUUUGAGUUAAUAGGGUCACUACUUUUUGAAUGCCUGCUGCAGAAACUAAGAAAAAUGGCUGGCUGAGCCAAUAGAAGAGGAUUUUGUAGCUCAACUCCUGGGGAAGAAAAUACUCCUUUUGACGGAGGGCAGGUGCUGUAGACCUUGCAAGGACAUAGCCAGUCUGCAAUGUCAUCUAGGCCCACCCGCUAAAGUUUUAAAAGUAAAGUAAAGUAUUUAUUAGCUGUGGCUAUAAAUUAGAGAUGAAUGGAAGGUCUUCAGGCCUGAUCUUGGAGGCAUUCCUUAUUAAUGAAGUUCAAGCAUUUGCUGUGGUAGGGGAGGGUUUUUGUAAGAGGACUGAAUCAUCUCUUGUAUGCAGACAUUACUGAUACUGCUGUUGUGCAGACUGGGCCUCUCAAAUUCUGCUCUAACAGAGGUUUAGAAAAGUCUUUUGCUAGGACAGGUAAAUGUAGUCAGUUAUCCAUUAGUUCAACUUACCGUUCAUAUCUUUCUGUCAUAAACACUAGAUCCAAUUCCCAUUUCAAAAAAGUUGAACCUACCUUUCUCAUGGCUAUCAAUCAGUAAAACUUUUUUGCCUGCAA
rnacentral:lncRNA from 1 species